rnacentral:snRNA from 1 species
GUGCUCACUUCAGCAGCACAUAUACUAAAGUUGGGACAAUACUGAGAAGAUUAGAAUGGCCCCUGUGCAAGGAUAACAGCAAAUUCAUGAAGGGUUCCAUAUUUUA